GUGUCAGCCGCCGCGGUAAUACGGAGGGUGCAAGCGUUGUCCGGAUUUAUUGGGUUUAAAGGGUGCGUAGGCGGUCCUGUAAGUCAGCGGUGAAAUCCCGACGCUCAACGUCGGAAUUGCCGUUGAUACUGCUGGACUUGAGUUCGAUCGAGGUCGUUGGAACGCGUAGUGUAGCGGUGAAAUGCUUAGAUAUUACGCAGAACACCGAUUGCGAAGGCAGAUGGCUAGGUCGCGACUGACGCUGAGGCACGAAAGUGCGGGGAUCAAACAGGAUUAGAUACCCGGGUAGUCC
rnacentral:rRNA from 1 species